CCUACGUGAGGCAGCAGUGAGGAAUAUUGGUCAAUGGACGCAAGUCUGAACCAGCCAAGUAGCGUGAAGGAUGACUGCCCUCUGGGUUGUAAACUUCUUUUAUACGGGAAUAACAUGAGGUACGCGUACCUUAUUGCAUGUACCGUUAUGAAUAAGCAUCGGCUAACUCCGUGCCAGCAGCCGCGGUAAUACGGAGGAUGCGAGCGUUAUCCGGAUUUAUUGGGUUUAAAGGGAGCGUAGGUGGGAUAUUAAGUCAGCUGUGAAAGUUUGGGGCUCAACCUUAAAAUUGCAGUUGAUACUGGUUGCCUUGAGUACGGUACAGGUGGGCGGAAUUCGUGGUGUAGCGGUGAAAUGCUUAGAUAUCACGAAGAACUCCGAUCGCGAAGGCAGCUCACCGGGCCGGAACUGACACUGAUGCUCGAAAGUGCGGGUAUCAAACAGGAUUAGAUACCCUGGUAGUC
rnacentral:rRNA from 1 species